UACGUAGGGUGCGAGCGUUGUCCGGAAUUAUUGGGCGUAAAGGGCUCGUAGGCGGUUUGUCGCGUCGGGAGUGAAAUCCACUGGCUUAACUGGUGGCUUGCUUUCGAUACGGGCAGACUGGAGGUAUGCAGGGGAGAACGGAAUUCCUGGUGUAGCGGUGAAAUGCGCAGAUAUCAGGAGGAACACCGGUGGCGAAGGCGGAUCUCUGGGCCGUAACUGACGCUGAGGAGCGAAAGCAUGGGGAGCGAACAGG
rnacentral:rRNA from 1 species